UACGGGGGGAGCAAGCGUUGUUCGGAUUUACUGGGCGUAAAGGGCGCGUAGGCGGCCACCGCAAGUCGGUUGUGAAAUCUCUGGGCUUAACCCAGAAAGGUCAACCGAUACUGCGGGGCUAGAGUGCAGAAGGGGCAACUGGAAUUCUCGGUGUAGCGGUGAAAUGCGUAGAUAUCGAGAGGAACACCUGCGGCGAAGGCGAGUCUCUGGACAUUUCCUGACGCUGGGGCGACGAAAGCCAGGGGAGCAAACGGG
rnacentral:rRNA from 1 species